UGCCUUUCCCCACCCGUCCGUUCCUUCCCGCGGAGAUGGCGAUGCGGGUUCUUCCUCUCCUCCCCUUCCGAUCCAUUCGCCGAUCUUCUCCCUCGCCAUCUCCCCCACUGCGUGAUACCAGGCAAGGGCUUCUCCUUGCCAUUAGAAGGAGGCGCAGGUGAUUGGGAUGAUCUGUUCGAGCAGAUCGGGACGAAACCGGAUCGACGGCCAGAGCAGAGCGACAGGCCGUCGCGGAGGCCGCGAUGCGCUCCCCCUCAACCCGUCUUGGCGCUGCAGCAUGAAUGGAUUCGUCGGCAUGAGGAUCUGCAUCUCCGUCCAACAUUGGGGAGGCUGGACUUGAUCUGCCAGCACCAAGAACAAAAGGCAUGGACUCAACUAGCGAUGAAGACCGAACAACUGCCGCUCCUCUUCCAACCAUUCCUCCAUUGGGAGAAAGGCUGAAGCUGCCUUCACACGGAUUGCCUAGAUUGAAAGGGUUGAAAUUUGGAGGGAAGCCGUAAGGAUUGAAAGGGUUAAAGUUGGGAGGGAAUUGGGACCGGAAUUGUUGGCUGAAUUGAGAUGGAAAGUUGGUGGCUAACUGUGAUGGUGAGGGCCUUUGGGUGGAUUGGUUGCUUGUGUUUGGCUGCUGUGAAGGUGAGGAGCUUGAAGGAGUGAAGCCAUGCGUAUGAUCCAUGGUAGUUUUUUUCUGUAAUUUUUCUUCUGUAUGAGAUGGCUAGGUCAAAUGUUGAGAUAUAGCUGGCUGCUAUUUGUAGAAGCAUCAGCAGACUUGUGCAACGGCUACUCCUCUUCCAACGAUCAUGUGCAAUAAAUAUCUUGCCGCUGUCGAAGAA